rnacentral:rRNA from 1 species
GACGAACCGUGCGAACGUUAUUCGGAAUCAUUGGGCGUAAAGGGUGCGUAGGUGGCGCCGUAAGUCAGGUGUGAAAUCUCGGGGCUCAACCCCGAAACUGCACUUGAUACUGCGGUGCUCGAGUACUGGAGAGGAGAUUGGAAUUUACGGUGUAGCAGUGAAAUGCGUAGAUAUCGUAAGGAAGACCAGUGGCGAAGGCGAAUCUCUGGACAGUUACUGACACUGAGGCACGAAGGCCAGGGGAGCAAACGGG